rnacentral:rRNA from 1 species
UACGUAGGGGGCAAGCGUUGUCCGGAUUUACUGGGCGUAAAGGGCGCGUAGGCGGUCAGCACAAGUCAGUUGUGAAAUCUCCGGGCUUAACUCGGAAAGGUCAACUGAUACUGUGCGACUAGAGUGCAGAAGGGGCAACUGGAAUUCUCGGUGUAGCGGUGAAAUGCGUAGAUAUCGGGAGGAACACCAGUAGCGAAGGCGGCUCGCUGGGCCACACCUGACGCUGAGACGCGAAAGCUAGGGGAGCGAACAGG